CGAGCGCUGGCGGCGUGGAUAAGACAUGCAAGUCGAACGGGAUAGUCUUGUAGCAAUAUGAGACUGUUCAGUGGCGAACGGGUGCGUAACACGUGGGUCACAUUCCGGGAAGUGAGAAAUAGCACAGGGAAACUUGGAUUAAUAUCUCAUGUGGUCGCAAGACUAAAGGCGCAAGCCGCUUCCUGAUUGGCCCGCGGCCUAUCAGCUUGUUGGUGAGGUAAUGGCUCACCAAGGCAGCGACGGGUAGCUGGUCUGAGAGGACGACCAGCCACACUGGAACUGAGACACGGUCCAGACACCUACGGGUGGCAGCAGUCGAGAAUCUUUCACAAUGGGGGAAACCCUGAUGGAGUGACGCCGCGUGGAGGUUAAGGUCUUCGGAUUGUAAACUCCUGUCAUGCGAGAACAAAGCCCGCAAGGGUGUGAUAGUACCGCAAGAGGAAGAGACGGCUAACUCUGUGCCAGCAGCCGCGGUAAUACAGAGGUCUCAAGCGUUAUUCGGAAUUACUGGGCGUAAAGGGUGCGCAGGCCGCGCGGGCAGUCAAAUGUGUAAUCCAGGGGCUCAACCCCUGAACUGCGCUUGAUACUUCCGCGCUCGAGCUUUGGAGAGGAGUCUGGAAUUCUCGGUGUAGCAGUGAAAUGCGUGGAUAUCGAGAAGAACACUUAGGGCGAAGGCAAGACUCUGGACAAAUGCUGACGCUCAUGCACGAAGGCUAGGGUAG
rnacentral:rRNA from 1 species